UACGUAGGGUGCUAGCGUUGUUCGGAAUCAUUGGGCGUAAAGCGCGUGUAGGUGGUCAGUAAAGUUGGGUGUGAAAUCCCUCGGCUCAACCGAGGAAGUGCACUCAAAACUCACUGGCUUGAGAGUGGUAGAGGAAGGUGGAAUUCCUAGUGUAGAGGUGAAGUUCGUAGAUAUUAGGAGGAAUACCGGAGGCGAAGGCGGCCUUCUGGACCAUUUCUGACACUGAGACGCGAAAGCGUGGGUAGCAAACAGG
rnacentral:rRNA from 1 species